CCCGCCCUGAGCGCUUCCUCCGAAGCACUAUAGCCCAGCCGUGUCUGCAAGCCGAGCCGCGGAACGUGCCCCGACCGAACAGCCCUCCAGAGCCGACCCGAACUCGGGCCGGCAAAGGCAGCCUCUGGGCGGAUGAACCGUUCCGGGCCAGGGAGGCCCGGGAUCCCCGCUCCGCGGUUCACCCGACGGGCUCAGGGCGGUCGGGGCACGCGCCCGGGACCACGUUUCUCCUCCUCUGCUGCUGCGUGACUGCCCCGCACCUGGAGCCCUGCUCGGGGCGGUCUGCACCCUCCAAACACCCCUGCGAGUGCAGGAGGGAUGCCGAGGCAGGAUUUGUCUUGCAGAAUAGCCAGUGCCCCAGACCUGAAAACAGAAGAGGUGCACGUGUCCAAUCAAGAAUACUUGGAAUACUUAAUUGGACACAUAAUAUAGAUCACAAGGAAAAUCCAGCUGUGAUGUGUGUCACCCCAGGAUCGACAGUAAAAAGCAGGGAAAGGGUCCCUCAGCCCUGGCCUGAGCCCUGACUGCAGCCCGGCUCCCUGCCCCCAGCACGUUCUGCACAGCAUCUCUGGCAAGCCAGCUGCUGAUCAGCUCACCGCCCUCCCUCCCCUGUGGGAGAGUACAGGGACACACACAUGAUCAAUCACAUGCGGCUCUCCCUUCCUCGAGGACUCCGGGAGACAGAUAUUGUGCUCCAUAGAUAUGCACAAUAUGGCGGACUCGAUUCAUGCAAACUCAAUCAGCUCCUGAAGGUUCCUGACUUCAGUGCAGGUUGCGGGAGGUGUGGGGAUGCCUCCGGCACCCAGAGCUCUUUGAGCUAGGGCUUGGUGAGAUGAAAACUCAAAUCUCUGAAUCUCUGGCUUCCAGAUGACUAUGGAAAUGCAAUGAUGCUUGAGUGCUGCUCCUCACUGAGCACCACAGUGUGUGUCACGAUUCCUGCCGGAUUCUCUGCCCUGGCUGGAAAGGCAGAUCAGAGAGUGCUUGGGUUUGUGGUCCCUGCAUGGCAGCACAAAAGGAGAUGAAGAGGAAAUGGUAGGCGUCUGAAGAAGGGAUUUGGGCAGAGCUGCUGGUUGUGCUUUUGACAAACAGAAACCUGCACAAACACCGGCGAGGGUGGAAAGAGUCCUGGCUAACUUUGGAAGAUGCCUCCAGAUGACUCCAGUAGGCCUUUUCACAGAUGCAGCCAUCUGUGACAUUGUGGUCACAGCCUCUCCACCAACUUAGACAUUUCCACAGGGCCGGAGCAGCUGAAGCACUCUCAUAAAGUGUUCCCAACACCCACCUUGUUUCUCUCACUUUGUAUUUUGUCUGGCUUUGAAUACCUUGGACCAAUAUGGAGUUAAUACCCCUUAGUUCCCUGAAAUAGAGUGCUGUUUUGAUAGUGUUAUAGCUAGUGUCUAGAUGUCCCUCCAAAGCCUCAUGCAGUCAGAGGUGGGGCUUUUUCAGAAGUGGCUGGAUCUCACGUGUGUGACACUGGAAUUGAUUCACGGUAGAAUGCUAGGCUCAAAGGCACUAGGAUUAAGGGAGUGAGUGCUACCUACCCUAAGUAGUCUGGAUAAGAUUUCUUUUUAAAAAGGGCAGAAAGACACUGUUAAGGUCCCUUUUUGCUUUGCUACCUUCUGCCCGCCAUGAACUGUUCUCCUCUGCAAUACCACCCUGCCUUGGAGCCAGCCAAUUAUGGACUGAAACAUCUACAAAUUGUGAGCUAAUAAACCUUUCCUUUAAUUUUG
rnacentral:lncRNA from 1 species